UGAGUCGGGCCAGUAUAAAAGCGGUAGUCCUUCCACCAAUUCUCUCUCUUUGCGCCUCCGUCGUCACCGGCGCGUCAUUUCCGGGUCGGAGGUCGUUUGUCCAUGUCAGGGCGACUGCUUGUGUGCGGCUCCGUGGCCCCUGCGCGCACUGCUACGUUUGUUGGCUGAGGUAAGUGUGUUCUCUGUUUGAAGUACGGUCGAUGCUAUCAGGUGGCUAACGCCAGUGUGGCUGCCAGGAGUACCUGUCCCCCUGUCUCUCGUUCGUGUUUCUGCUAACAAGGUGGCGCGCUGCUUCACUACCACUGUUGUUGGUCCCACCUGUACAGCGGUCACCUGUUGAUUUGUCGCGCUCUCGCCAGUGAGGGCUUCCUGUGUGGUGGCGCGCUGCUCCACUACCACUGAUGUUGGUCCCACCUGUACAGCGGUCACCUGUUGAUUUGGCCGCGCUGUCGACGGCAUGCACGAGUUACUGUCUGGUUUUCGCUGACGAGGAGGAGGGGGCUUGGUCUGGUGGUUUGUAUGGUAGAUUGUUGGUCCAGCUCCACUGUCAGUGAUCCUACCUGUGCAGGUGUAUGUCAACUGUUGAACUGGCCACGUUCUUUGCAGCUGGGGCUUCCUGUUGUGCGACGGUGAAGGAUUUACGGAUCAUGUUUGGUGUGCAUUCUCUGCCCUCGCCAUGGGAUAUGCCUGUGUUGUGCAUGGGCAGGCUGUGUGGCUGAUGUCCCUGGUGGUACUUCCCUUCUCACUCCCAAUAAUGUGGUAUGGCAUGUAGUGAUACUGCUACUGUUGAAAUGUUUGUGCCAAAGCCAGGGCAUAGUGCUGUCCUGCAUGUUAAUUUGUAAUACGUGUGUGACCUCAUGGCAAUAAAGACACAGGUCAAAGUUAACGUACGGGGUUGCAGUUUUGGAAGUGGUAUUGUUGGCCAACUUGUCACAAAUGUAUUAUUGGUCUUCAGCUGACAAACCAGAUUGCACUGUGAUUGAAAUAUCUGUCUUAAAAACAAAAAUACUAUCUUAAAUAUAAGUAUUACAUCUACUAAACGUGUGUGUGACCUCAUGGCAAUAAAGACACGGGUCAAAGUUAA